GUGGAUUAUGGCUCAGCGGUAGAGCGCUUGCCUUGCACAUGAGCAGUGCUGAGUUCAAGCCUCAGCACCACA
rnacentral:tRNA from 1 species